rnacentral:rRNA from 1 species
AUUGAACGCUGGCGGCAGGCUUAACACAUGCAAGUCGAGCGGAGAUGAGGUGCUUGCACCUUAUCUUAGCGGCGGACGGGUGAGUAAUGCUUAGGAAUCUGCCUAUUAGUGGGGGACAACAUUCCGAAAGGAAUGCUAAUACCGCAUACGUCACACGGGAGAAAGCAGGGGAUCUUAGGACCUUGCGCUAAUAGAUGAGUCUAAGUCGGAUUAGAUAGUUGGUGGGGUAAAGGACUACCAAGUCGACGAUCGGGAGCGGGUCUGAGAGGAUGAUCCGCCACACUGGGACUGAGACACGGCCCAGACUCCUACGGGAGGCAGCAGUGGGGAAUAUUGGACAAUGGGGGGAACCCUGAUCCAGCCAUGCCGCGUGUGUGAAGAAGGCCUUAUGGUUGUAAAGCACUUUAAGCGAGGAGGAGGCUACUGAGACUAAUACUCUUGGAUAGUGGACGUUACUCGCAGAAUAAGCACCGGCUAACUCUGUGCCAGCCGCCGCCGUAACAC